AACCUCCUGUCUUGUUUCUGGUUCUGAUCCAGAUGAGGAGUUUCCUGUCUAGAAGAACUGAAGAGCACAAAUCUGAGCCCAGUACGUCUUUAAAUCCACUUUUACAUUUUCUGCUUCAUGAUGCUUCAAACUUGUUUAAAACUUUAUCGAACAUCUUCCAAUAACAACACGAUAACACAAAAACUGCUGACUGUGAACCAUUCACACCUUCAUCUCUGAUCCAGAGGAACCUGUGUGUGAGGAAGAGGAGGCUGGAGGACAGGAACUCCCCAAGGAUGAAGAGCAACCAACACGUAUGUCCAGUACAAGAACUUUUGACAAUGAUGGUGAUUUUUGCAGUGAGGUCUUAGUCGUUGCAAAAUCAAGAUGUAAUCUUUUUGUUUCUGUUUCGCUCAGAUGUGGGGUGGAGAUGAAGCAGCACAGAGCACCAGUCUCCAUCAGAACCCGAAGAACCGGAAUCAGCAGACACCAAAAGCAAGGUUCAGAUACGAUGUGAUGUCACCACUCAGAGAGGUUUGGGUCACACAGAACGACUCUAAUGGUCCUCCUUUGUUGGAUUUCUUUCUUACAGAGGUCGGUCUGUGAAGAUGAAGUGCAGUAGGAAUGAUCCGCUAAACCUCCGUGUCAGUCUCCUGAAGGACUCCCACUCCAAAGUGCUCAAAAGAAGCGGUAAGAGUCCAACAGAACCCUGGUAUGACCCGCCAGGAUAUCUGGAGGAAUCUCUUAGGGCACCGACCCGUGUUGGAAAAUAAAAAGACCAAACGAUGUCCUUAUUAUUUGGAAGUGAGGUUAGAAUGUGUGUUCCCUUCAGCUUUUUGAUGAACUUGUGUAAGUGCUCAUGUGUCCGGUGAAGGACCUGACGUGUCCUCGGCGCCUGCAGGAGUCCGACUUCCUGGACCUGCUGAGGUCCACCUUCCCUCAGCUGACCGGAGGGUUUGACGUCUUCACAGUCGACUCCAACAGGAGACUGAUGCCUCUGAAACUACAGACACUGACACCAGAGGAGAUCCAGCGGUCCAUCAGAUCCACAGGGAAAAGAAGAUCAGCGCUGUAUAUCAGAGUUAAGAGAGCAAAGACAACCAGCCCAGAACAACUUCUUCCUCCAGAGACAACAGACGAGAACACCGCCAAUACAAGCCGAGAUGAUAACAGAACUCAUGCGAGGUGAGACCAGACCAGACAGAGAGGACGAUGUGUUCAGGAGCUGGACGUCAGCAAGCUCCGUUCAGCUCAGUGUUUCAGUAACAAGAGUUAAAUAAAUGACACUGUCUGUUUUCUACCUUCAGUUCCGACCACAGUCCUGUUGAAAAAGUGGAGAGCAACAAAGCAGAUCAUCAGUCUGGCAACUCAAGAUAACAACAACAAGUGAAGGUGGAGGAAGACGGGCAACAAUGUGGAGUAUCACAGGACUCUAGUGGCUCGUCUUCUGCCCACGCUGCUGCUGAGAGCGAAGGAGAACAUGGAGAUGAUGAUGAUGAGGAGGUGGAGGUGGGGGAAGAAGACGACGGAGAUGAUGAAUGGGAGCCAGACAAGAAUGACAAGGCGCUGAGUGAGGACCAAGCUGAACCGAAACCAUCGAAGACGACGAGGAAGCGGCGAGUCAAACAUCCAGGAUACAAAACAAAGAGACGGAAACAGAAGGGGCCUUGACUGAAAACAGCGACGCUGUUCUGUCCUGUCCUGUAAAGUCUGCCAUG
rnacentral:lncRNA from 1 species